GGAUUAGAUACCCUGGUAGUCCACGCCGUAAACGGUGGGCGCUAGGUGUGGGUUCCUUCCACGGAAUCCGUGCCGUAGCUAACGCAUUAAGCGCCCCGCCUGGGGAGUACGGCCGCAAGGCUAAAACUCAAAGGAAUUGACGGGGGCCCGCACAAGCGGCGGAGCAUGUGGAUUAAUUCGAUGCAACGCGAAGAACCUUACCUGGGUUUGACAUAUACCGGAAAGCUGCAGAGAUGUGGCCCCCCUUGUGGUCGGUAUACAGGUGGUGCAUGGCUGUCGUCAGCUCGUGCCG
rnacentral:rRNA from 1 species